UACGUAGGGUGCGAGCGUUAAUCGGAAUUACUGGGCGUAAAGUGUGCGCAGGCGGCUCCGCAAGUCGAGUGUGAAAAGCCCCCGAGCUUAACUUGGGAAUUUGCGCUCGAAAACUACGGAGCUGGAGUGUGGCAGAGGAAGGUGGAAUUCCACGUGUAGCGGUGAAAAUGCGUAGAGAUGUGGAGGAACACCGAUGGCGAAGGCAGCCUUCUGGGCCAACACUGACGCUCAUGCACGAAAGCGUGGGGAGCAAACAGG
rnacentral:rRNA from 1 species